AUUUCCCAAAUUGAUUCGACCCUGUGUUUUUCGGCAACUGAGUAUCCUAUGUGGCAUGCCCGAAUGUUGACGUGGAUAGCAUCGGAAAAUCGUAAAACGAUGUCGUUUCUAACACCUAAAACAAAACUACGUCGUUUUACGAUUUAUCACCGCCAAUUCCAAAUCCAACCAAACCCUAAUUUUUCCAUCAGAGAUCCAAUCGGCAGCUUCGGCUGCUGCCCUGCCUCCAACAUCGCCGCCCAGCAUCGCCACCAGCUCCUCUUCCUCCGCCAGCCCAAUCAUUUCUACUACAACACUCUCAAGCCUUCCAUCUAUACCUACUUCUCUCUCUACCGGAAACCGGUCUCCCUUCCCUUUAAGGUCAAUCAUUGUUAUCCAUGUCAGCCGCCACGAGACGCCUCAUCAAUAAAAUACGACACGUCAGCUCGCUCUUUCGCCUGAAAAACUAUCAUGGAAAUCGGAGACUAAAUGCAAAGUUGGUGACUUUAUACGCCAAUUUUAAAGAUAGUGGGAAAAACUGGUAUUCGGGCAAAGUUGGUGACUUUUAAUGCAGAUAUCCUUUAAUAUUUCAAUUGGGUAUUUGAUAAGUUUGUAUUGUCAUAUUUAAAUUUAAA